CAGCAGUUAGUUUAAUUAGAAUAUUAAUUUUGGAGAUUAAUGGUGUAGGUUUCCUAUUCUGCUGA
rnacentral:tRNA from 2 species